GGGGAUGCAAGGCAUCGACGGGAAAUUUGCACUUUUAAAAAUGGCUUAGACGCACCUAUGCGUUAAAUGGAAAAACUUAACUGAUAAAAAUACUUUAUCACCUGAAGAAGCGGCUUAUCUACAGGGUGCACAACCUGCAUUUCUGUUUGCAUAAGUCUUUUCCAAGACUCUCUCUAGAUUUCGUCCGAUUCAAUUUAUAGAGGGGUAAACCAAUCGGAAUAAGGCGAGAUGACUUUUCUAGUUAGUCAUUGAGUCCACAAUUUAUAACUAGCUUUCCGAUGAGCUUUGAUUAUAUAAGCUAUCGGAAUAGAGUAAAAAUAAUCUAUUCUAAGCUAAACUUUUUUAUCGGUGUUUUCUCGGACGCGAGUUCGAUUCUCGCCAUCUCCACUU
rnacentral:tmRNA from 1 species